rnacentral:rRNA from 1 species
AUUGAACGCUGGCGGCAGGCCUAACACAUGCAAGUCGAACGAGAGGUGGAAGGGUGAGUAAUGACUGUGAAUCUGACUGGUGGAGGGGGAUAAGUACCGGAAACGGUAGCUACUAACGCAUACCAUCAGAUGUGUCGAGAUGGGAAUAGCUUGGUGGAGGGGUAAAGGCUAACCAAGGCGACGAUCCGUAGCUGGUCUGAGAGGAUGACCAGUCACACUGGAACUUAGACACGGUCCAGAGUACUACGGGAGGCAGCAGUGGGGAAUAUUGGACAAUGGGCGCAAGCCUGAUGCAGCCAUGCCGCGUGUAUGAAGAAGGCCUUCGGGUUGUAAAGUACUUACAGCGGGGAGGCGUUACCCGCAGAAUAAGCACCGGCUAACUCCGUGCCAGCAGCCGCGGUAAUUC